UACGGGGGGCAAGCGUUGUUCGGAAUUACUGGGCGUAAAGGGCUCGUAGGCGGCCAACUAAGUCAGACGUGAAAUCCCUCGGCUUAACCGGGAACUGCGUCUGAUACUGGAUGGCUUGAGAUUGGGAGAGGGAUGCGGAAUUCCAAGGUGGUAGCGGUGAAAUGCGUAGAGAUCCGGAGGAACACCGACGGCGUAGGCAGCGCCCUGGACGACACCUGACGCUGAGGCACGAAAGCUGGGGAGCGAACAG
rnacentral:rRNA from 1 species